rnacentral:tRNA from 1 species
GCGGUCGUGGCGGAAUGGUAGACGCGCAACGUUGAGGUCGUUGUCCACGCAAGUGGGUGGAGGUUCAAGUCCUCUCGACCGCACCA